rnacentral:rRNA from 1 species
UACGUAGGGGGCAAGCGUUGUCCGGCUUUCUUGGGCGUAAAGCGCGUGUAGGCGGCCAGGCAGGUCCGUUGUGAAAACUGGAGGCUCAACUUCCAGACGUCGAUGGAAACCGCCCGGCUAGAGUCCGGAAGAGGAGAGUGGAAUUCCUGGUGUAGCGGUGAAAUGCGCAGAUAUCAGGAAGAACACCAAUGGCGAAGGCAGCUCUCUGGGACGGUACUGACGCUGAGACGCGAAAGCGUGGGGAGCGAACAGG